rnacentral:rRNA from 1 species
GUGGGGAAUUUUGGACAAUGGGCGCAAGCCUGAUCCAGCAAUGCCGCGUGUGUGAAGAAGGCCUUCGGGUUGUAAAGCACUUUUGUCCGGAAAGAAAUCUCCUGGGUUAAUACCUCGGGGGGAUGACGGUACCGGAAGAAUAAGCACCGGCUAACUACGUGCCAGCAGCCGCGGUAAUACGUAGGGUGCGAGCGUUAAUCGGAAUUACUGGGCGUAAAGCGUGCGCAGGCGGCUAUGCAAGACAGAUGUGAAAUCCCCGGGCUCAACCUGGGAACUGCAUUUGUGACUGCAUGGCUAGAGUGCGUCAGAGGGAGGUGGAAUUCCGCGUGUAGCAGUGAAAUGCUUAGAUAUGCUACGGAACACCGAUUGCGAAGGCAGCUUACUAUUUCGUAAUUGACGCUGAGGCACGAAAGCGUGGGUAGCGAACAGGAUUAGAUACCCGAGUAGUCC